GCCUUUAGAACAGCUCUACGUAUGUAUGACCAAACUAUCAGAUUGUCAUAUUUGAAUAGCUUUGCUUUGUACAACGAGAUUACUCUGGACAUGAGUAAGGUUAUUCAUUUGGUACCUUUUUGAUGUGAUUUUCAAUAAUAUACAGCUUAUCAUAUUUCCGACUACAGAAUUUAGCUUAUUCAAUUUGUAGAGUAAUAAUUUCAGCUUAUAGUACUGUGAAAGGGUAUUUUCACUUAUACUUACUGAUAUCAGAUUAUUUAUAUUUAUUAUACUUUAAAGCUGCUUAUCAAGGAUGAAGAAUAAAGAAUUUUAUGAUACAUUCAUGUUUAGUUUUAAAAAAUGUUACUAGAUUUCAGAAUUUUUUAAAGUUUUAAUAGCGCAAGAAUUUAAAGAAAAUAUUCAUAAACAAGAAAAGUAUACUUAUUUGCAAACCAUUCACUCAUUGAGUUACAAGCUCAUGUUUUGCCACCCUUUUUUUUAGCAAAUGGCAGCAGAGUUGAGCAUCCUUGGAGCCUGUCGAUCCACCGAACUAAGCCACACACAUUGCCAUUAUUUGAUUUUUGGAGUAGUCCAAAACGAAGAAAACACCUAUGGAGUAGUUGGAACCUAGUGAUUUAUAAUCACACACCUAAAUUUUUGUAGACAAAUGACAGAGAUGACAAAUUAAAGGAAGGGCACUUUAGCCUUGACUUUUCUGAAGGUCCGAUUGCAAUGGGCAUAAGUCACCAUAAUAUGCAAUGGAAGGGCACUUCUCAAUAAUGUCUAAUGUUUACAGUUUGGGGGUUUUACUAUUGGAGAUCAUCUGUGGCAGGAAGAAUAGUAGUUAUUUUCAAGACAAUACUGUGAAUUUGAUUGGAUAUGUUUGGGACUUGUAGAGAGAAAAAGAGCAUUGGAUAUAGUAGAUUCAUCAGUCGACAACUCUUACAAAGACAACAAAGAUUUGAGGUGCAUUCUUGUUGGUCUUUUGUGCGUGCAAGAAUAUGCUCCUGAUCAGCCCACGACGUCAGUAAUAGUUUUCAUG